rnacentral:rRNA from 1 species
AUUGAACGCUGGCGGCAUGCCUUACACAUGCAAGUCGAACGGCAGCACGGGUGCUUGCACCUGGUGGCGAGUGGCGAACGGGUGAGUAAUACAUCGGAACAUGUCCUGUAGUGGGGGAUAGCCCGGCGAAAGCCGGAUUAAUACCGCAUACGAUCUACGGAUGAAAGCGGGGGACCUUCGGGCCUCGCGCUAUAGGGUUGGCCGAUGGCUGAUUAGCUCGUUGGUGGGGUAAAGGCCUACCAAGGCGACGAUCAGUAGCUGGUCUGAGAGGACGACCAGCCACACUGGGACUGAGACACGGCCCAGACUCCUACGGGAGGCAGCAGUGGGGAAUUUUGGACAAUGGGCGAAAGCCUGAUCCAGCAAUGCCGCGUGUGUGAGGAAGGCCUUCGGGUUGUAAAGCACUUUUGUCCGGAAAGAAAUCCUUGGCCCUAAUACGGUCGGGGGAUGACGGUACCGGAAGAAUAAGCACCGGCUAACUACGUG